GUACUUACCAGGCAGGGGAGACAUCAUGAUCAAGAAGGUGGGUCAUUCAGGGCAAGGCUUACCCAUUGCACUACAGCUAUGCUGACCCCUAUGAAUACCUUAAUGUGGGUGUUUUGAUUCCAAAAUGUCUGGUAGUGGGUGACUGUUUGCUCUCUCCCC